rnacentral:rRNA from 1 species
AGACCCGAAACCCGGUGAUCUAGCCAUGGGCAGGUUGAAGGUUGGGUAACACUAACUGGAGGACCGAACCGACUAAUGUUGAAAAAUUAGCGGAUGACCUGUGGCUGGGGGUGAAAGGCCAAUCAAACCGGGAGAUAGCUGGUUCUCCCCGAAAGCUAUUUAGGUAGCGCCUCGUGAAUUCAUCUCCGGGGGUAGAGCACUGUUUCGGCUAGGGGGCCAUCCCGGCUUACCAACCCGAUGCAAACUGCGAAUACCGGAGAAUGUUAUCACGGGAGACACACGGCGGGUGCUAACGUCCGUCGUGAAGAGGGAAACAACCCAGACCGCCAGCUAAGGUCCCAAAGUCAUGGUUAAGUGGGAAACGAUGUGGGAAGGCCCAGACAGCCAGGAUGUUGGCUUAGAAGCAGCCAUCAUUUAAAGAAAGCGUAAUAGCUCACUGGUCGAGUCGGCCUGCGCGGAAGAUGUAACGGGGCUAAACCAUGCACCGAAGCUGCGGCAGCGACGCUUAUGCGUUGUUGGGUAGGGGAGCGU